UCCGAAUUGGUGUAGUGGCUAACAUUUGACGCUCUCAUUGGUUAAACCCAGUUACCGUCAAGCCCGGGGUUCGAUUCCCCGAUUCGGAG